rnacentral:rRNA from 1 species
UAGCAAGAUUAACUUUUUUAUUAAUUUUCUCGAAGCCUAAGGAGUUACUCUAUUACUGUUUUUAGAUAGAAAAUGUAAAUGUAGCAAAAUUUUAUUUAUAUUAUAAAGUAGAAAUGAAAUUUUUUUCGUAUUAGGAGAUAGCUAGUUUCGACAGAAAUAUAUUUACGUAUAGGUAGUCAGAUAGGGUGUCAUAAGCUAUGGAUAGCUUAGGUAAUUUAUUGAUUUUCUGGCCCCUAGAAGGGUGAGCUUAUAGGGGAAAAAUUGUAGUGUAAGGUAAAAGUUUGUUAGCAUCUAAGCUUGAAAUUAGCUAAGAUUAGAAGCUUGUUUCAAAGUAUUAAUGUACCGUUGUGCAUUGCUUAAGUUAGGUUGAUAAAUACCUAAGCCAAAAGGUGUUGCAUUUAUGCUAAAAUGAGUAUUUUGUGGAUGAUUUAAGAACUAAAAUUGAUUGUUUAAUUAGGAAUAAUGCGUUAAUUUAAAAUGUGAAAAAGGAACUCGGCAUCUAUGCUUCGCCUGUUUAGCAAAAACAUGGCUCUUUG